UAAGUUAAUAAGGGCGCACGGUGGAUGCCUUGGCACUAGGAGCCGACGAAGGACGUGACAAACGACGAUAUGCCUUGGGUAGCUGUAAGUAAGCGAUGAUCCAGGGAUUUCCGAAUGGGGGAACCCAACAGGUAAUACCUGUUACCUACAUCUGUUAAGGAUGUGAGGAGGAAGACGCAGUGAACUGAAACAUCUAAGUAGCUGCAGGAAGAGAAAGCAAAAGCGAUUGCCUUAGUAGCGGCGAGCGAAACGGCAGAAGGGCAAACCGAAGAGUUUACUCUUCGGGGUUGUAGGACUGCAAUGUGGACUCAAAGAUUAUAGAAGAAUGAUUUGGGAAGAUCAGCCAAAGAGAGUAAUAGCCUCGUAUUUAAAAUAGUCUUUGUACUUAGCAGUAUCCUGAGUACGGCGGGACACGUGAAAUCCCGUCGGAAUCUGGGAGGACCAUCUCCCAACCCUAAAUACUCCCUAGUGACCGAUAGUGAACCAGUACCGUGAGGGAAAGGUGAAAAGCACCCCGGGAGGGGAGUGAAAUAGAACCUGAAACCGUGUGCCUACAACAAGUUCGAGCCCGUUAAUGGGUGAGAGCGUGCCUUUUGUAGAAUGAACCGGCGAGUUACGUUAUGAUGCGAGGUUAAGUUGAAGAGACGGAGCCGUAGGGAAACCGAGUCUGAAUAGGGCGCCUUAGUAUCAUGACGUAGACCCGAAACCAUGUGACCUACCCAUGAGCAGGUUGAAGGUGCGGUAAGACGCACUGGAGGACCGAACCAGGGCACGUUGAAAAGUGCUUGGAUGACUUGUGGGCAGCGGAGAAAUUCCAAACGAACUUGGAGAUAGCUGGUUCUCUCCGAAAUAGCUUUAGGGCUAGCGUCGACAUUAGAGAUUCUUGGAGGUAGAGCACUGUUUGGGUGAGGGGUCCAUCCCGGAUUACCAAUCUCAGAUAAACUCCGAAUGCCAAUGAAUUAUGGUCGGCAGUCAGACUGCGAGUGCUAAGAUCCGUAGUCGAAAGGGAACAGCCCAGACCACCAGCUAAGGUCCCAAAAUAAUUGUUAAGUGGAAAAGGAUGUGGGGUUGCACAGACAACUAGGAUGUUAGCUUAGAAGCAGCUAUUCAUUCAAAGAGUGCGUAAUAGCUCACUAGUCGAGUGACCCUGCGCCGAAAAUGUACCGGGGCUAAAACAAUUUACCGAAGCUGUGGAUACCUUUAUAGGUAUGGUAGGAGAGCGUUCUAUGUGUGAUGAAGGUAUACCGUGAGGAGUGCUGGAACGCAUAGAAGUGAGAAUGCCGGUAUGAGUAGCGAAAGACAGGUGAGAAUCCUGUCCACCGUAAGACUAAGGUUUCCAGGGGAAGGCUCGUCCGCCCUGGGUUAGUCGGGACCUAAGGAGGGACCGAAAGGUGUAUCCGAUGGACAACAGGUUGAUAUUCCUGUACUAGAGUAUGUAGUGAUGGAGGGACGCAGUAGGCUAACUAAAGCAGACGAUUGGAAGAGUCUGUCUAAGCAGUGAGGUGUGAAUUGAGUCAAAUGCUUAAUUCUAUAACAUUGAGCUGUGAUGGGGAGCGAAGUUUAGUAGCGAAGUUAGUGACGUCACACUGCCAAGAAAAGCUUCUAGCGUUUAAACAUACUCUACCCGUACCGCAAACCGACACAGGUAGUCGAGGCGAGUAGCCUCAGGUGAGCGAGAGAACUCUCGUUAAGGAACUCGGCAAAAUGACCCCGUAACUUCGGGAGAAGGGGUGCUGACUUUAAGUCAGCCGCAGUGAAUAGGCCCAAGCAACUGUUUAUCAAAAACACAGCUCUCUGCUAAAUCGUAAGAUGAUGUAUAGGGGGUGACGCCUGCCCGGUGCUGGAAGGUUAAGAGGAGUGCUUAGCGUAAGCGAAGGUAUGAAUUGAAGCCCCAGUAAACGGCGGCCGUAACUAUAACGGUCCUAAGGUAGCGAAAUUCCUUGUCGGGUAAGUUCCGACCCGCACGAAAGGCGUAAUGAUUUGGGCACUGUCUCAACGAGAGACUCGGUGAAAUUUUAGUACCUGUGAAGAUGCAGGUUACCCGCGACAGGACGGAAAGACCCCAUGGAGCUUUACUGCAGUUUGAUAUUGAGUGUCUGUACCACAUGUACAGGAUAGGUAGGAGUCUAAGAGAUCGGGACGCCAGUUUCGAAGGAGACGCUGUUGGGAUACUACCCUUGUGUUAUGGCCACUCUAACCCAGAUAGGUGAUCCCUAUCGGAGACAGUGUCUGACGGGCAGUUUGACUGGGGCGGUCGCCUCCUAAAAGGUAACGGAGGCGCCCAAAGGUUCCCUCAGAAUGGUUGGAAAUCAUUCGCAGAGUGUAAAGGUAUAAGGGAGCUUGACUGCGAGAGCUACAACUCGAGCAGGGACGAAAGUCGGGCUUAGUGAUCCGGUGGUUCCGUAUGGAAGGGCCAUCGCUCAACGGAUAAAAGCUACCCUGGGGAUAACAGGCUUAUCUCCCCCAAGAGUUCACAUCGACGGGGAGGUUUGGCACCUCGAUGUCGGCUCGUCGCAUCCUGGGGCUGUAGUCGGUCCCAAGGGUUGGGCUGUUCGCCCAUUAAAGCGGCACGCGAGCUGGGUUCAGAACGUCGUGAGACAGUUCGGUCCCUAUCCGUCGCGGGCGUAGGAAAUUUGAGAGGAUCUGCUCCUAGUACGAGAGGACCAGAGUGGACUUACCGCUGGUGUACCAGUUGUCUUGCCAAAGGCAUCGCUGGGUAGCUAUGUAGGGAAGGGAUAAACGCUGAAAGCAUCUAAGUGUGAAACCCACCUCAAGAUGAGAUUUCCCAUGAUUAUAUAUCAGUAAGAGCCCUGAGAGAUGAUCAGGUAGAUAGGUUAGAAGUGGAAGUGUGGCGACACAUGUAGCGGACUAAUACUAAUAGCUCGAGGACUUAUCCA
rnacentral:rRNA from 1 species